AUUACCUAGAAGCCCAGUUGGGACUAAAAGGCCUGUGGACCGAUUCCCAGCCUAUCCUCCCCUCCUCAAUAUCUCAAAGUCUUGUGGGAGCCUUGUGUCCCCUGCAGAAUAAAGCUCGGGUGCUCCAUGCCCUGCCCCGCACAGCAGCCUAGAGGUAAGGCAACAGCUCUCAGCCCCCACGCACCAGCCGUGGCUUGCAUUUCUCCCUGCCUCUGCCUAGGACCCCUGGCACACUUUGUUUCAAUGCUCAGGCAUCACCUCCUCCAGGAAGCCCUCUCCAAAUCUGAGGUCGCAGGAACUGCUCCCUUCUCUGUGCUCUCAGUACCCAAUGCUCCAGUCCCUCCUCACGACAGACACGAGAGGCAGAUAUGCUCAGCUAUGCAGUUUAGAAGAGUGCUAGGCCCAAGCUCAGACUGGGAGAAUGAAAAACUUCUUGGAUGAGUCAACACCAUGGACUUCAAAAGUGACAGGAAGAAUCCAGUCUCUGGACCCAGAAGCCACGGACGCAUUUCCUCCAUCUGCAGCUGAUUGGGGAAGGGUCCAACAGUGUAUGUUUUCUGCUUUGGUUGCAUAUUAGAGGAUCCUGGGACGCCUCCACCCCACCCCCAAACCUUCUGUUUCAUUGGUGACUUGUUGCCCAUCCCCCAACCCGUGAACUGCCAUCCCCACCCAUCCCCCUGGCUGACCAUCUCCCACCUUCUGUCCCUUCAUCCACCCCCAUCCCGUUCCCCCACUGCUGCCCUGAGCUCUGAUGGGGGGGACAUAGGGACUAGACAAAGGGGUGUCGGGGUUGGUGGAAACAAGGGCCUCCCUGUGGCGCCACAGCACGAAGGGCAGCAUGAGGUUGCUGAGAAGAUGGAAGUGCCCCAGCAACGAGAUCUGGUCCUUGGAUACACAGAGACAGAGACAAAGGCAGUCCUGUGGGCAGGAAAGCUAGGGCUGGGAAGAAGAUCAGCACACAGACCUAGCAAGGGUCCCCAGGGGUGCAGGAGCAGUGAGAGGCCCACAGCCCAGCCCAGGCACAGCCAGGACUUCCAGGGAGCUGAUGCACCAGUCGCUGGAUUUAUUGAGCAAUUAGCUAUUUCCCAUUGAUAUGGGCUGAAAUGUAAAUGUGUCCCCCAGAAUUCUCAGGUUGAAGUCCUAAUCCCUAGAUCCCCGGAAUGGGUCUGCAUUUGGAGUUAGGGUCUUUAAAGAGGUAAUGAGGGUACAACCAGGUCAUUAGGGUGAACACUAUCCACUCUGACUGGUGUGAUAGCAGCCAGUAAGAGGAGCAGGCUGGGACAGACACACCGAGGGAAAACCUCGCGAGGCCAUCAGCAGAAGACGCAUCUGCAGGCCAAGGAGAGAGGCCUCAGGAGAAGCUACCCUUGAUCUCGGGCUUCGGCCUCCAGAACUGUGAGAAAAUAAAAGUCUGUAGUACAUUUUGUUACGGUAGCCUGAGCACCAAGCAGGGUCGGGCAUUCUCUCUCCAAGCGUGGGGAUCCUGAAAGGUGGUCCCUUUUAGGGACCCCGCUGGCAGACGAGGACACCAGGGCUCAGCAGCACUAGUGGCUCGUGCAAGGUCUCGGGUGCUAACAGCAGAGCUCUCAGCACACCAACAGGAGCUGGAUGGGCAGACAAGGUGAAGGGUAUUAAGGGUCACCAGUUCCCACCCAGGGGGUCCCCUGCCUGUGGUGCCCACCCACCAUCACCUCAACCCACACCCUGAUUGCCUCAAGGACCAGACCCUUCCCUUCCUGUGGCACCAGGCCUCUGAGAGGAGUGAGAUGCGCUCACAGGCCCAGCCUCCAGGCACAGGCACGUGGGGCAACCCCUGCCCCACAGACACUCCUGAGGGAGGUGACAAGGGAGCAGAAAGGUACAGGUGAAUGACCAGGAGGUAAGAUCUGCCCACUUGGACAGGCUGGAGGACAGUGACCUGCACCCUUAGCCCUGGCCCCGAGUAGUCCCCUGGUAAGGGUCAGGCAUGGACCCCACCCCCAUCAGAGCUGCAGGAAGAGAAUUUGCCAACUUUGCAGGGUCAGCAAGCAUAUUUAUGGCUGAAUAACAUUUUGAGAUAUUCAUGUAUGGACAUUUCUCUCCCUAUGUUUUCCUCUUCCCCUCCCCAUGCCCAGAGCGAGCAGCCGAUUGUCCCUCCGUGCACCACUCAGGGAAGGCAAACCACAGGCAGAAAGCACCAAAACCAGCCAGUCUUCCUGGAUCUUGUGUCCCAAAAGUCUAAGCUCCGAGGACAAUGGUCUUCAGGCCCAAUAACACACCAGGAUCGCCCCGAGAGCUGGUUAAGACACAGCUGGCAGGGUCCCCCGCUAGAGCCUCUGACUCCUAGGUCUGAGGUGGAACCUGGUCCCACCCAGGUGCUGCUUAUGCUAAUAGCCCAGGGCCCCUCUCUAAGAACCACUGCCCUACACAGUGCUGAAUAUUAGAGGCACCAGAGGAGCUCUCUAAACCUCCCACCUGGCCUUGCCAGGGAGAGUCUGAUCUGACUGGUCUGGGAUGGGCAUGAGCACUGGAAAGUUCUUACAGCUCCUGGCUGAUCCCAGUAGGCAGCCUCUGGGUGGUGGUUUUGCAACCUGGGCCCUGGCCUCUGCCUGCCUCUGCUACAUGCAUGCGGGCCAGCUCCCCCUCCCCAGCACUGCCCUGACACACCAUCUCUGCCCCUGUGCACUGCUGGGGCGCCCUGCCCAGAGGCUCCCCGCUCCUCAUGCAGGCCCCACUCCUGCCUCUGAGCUAGCCCCCAAGUCCCCUGCAUCCAGCCACUUCCCGCAGUGCUGUUCCCGCUCUUCCCCACCUGCAUCACGUGGGGGAGCACUGAGGCCUGCAGCCCCAGCCUGUGGGUCAAGGGCCAUUUCUCCUGCUUGUUUCUGGCUCAGCCACGGCGGGUGCACAUUGUUACUUGAGUGAGUCCUGAAGUAGUUAUCUUUCCACGCUGACCGUAUCCGGAGAGCAGUAUUCUGCCUCAGCACCACAUUUUGAGAAAGGCAGGACACAGCCUGCCGAAGAAAUACUAGUGGGAGAUGGGAGAGCUAUCUGCAAACUCCCGAAGGGCAGCAGGGUGACAAAAGUGACUUUUCGGCAUUGCUCCAGGGACCUGUCACCAAAGCCCCAGGUGGAGGCCAUGAGCAGGCAGGGUCCAGAUCCAGGCAGGAGCAUGUUGUUCCACAGCGCUUAGAGCACCCAGGAGAAGGUGCUGGGCAGAGCGCUGCUUCCGGCAGGGAUGCUAUAAAAGAAAUCCUGAGCCGCUGGGCAAGAAGCUGCUCUGGACCCUUUUAACCCAGAGAAUCUGCCUGUCCAUGGUGACAACACUCCCCAACAGCGCCCAGGAGCAGGCAGAGAGGCAGCAGACUGGGGCCACGUGGUCUCUGCAGAGCAAGCCCCACAGCGUGCAACUGUGCGGCAGCGCAGGGCUUGCUGGUAGAAGGCCCCACCCUUGGUUUACUGCUCCGCUGUCACGGUCCUGAAUGUUAAUACUUUUUCAACAGGGGCUUCACAUUUUCAUUUUGUGCCAGGGCCUACAAAUUCUCUAGUAGGUCCUACAUCUACCUCCUUAGCUAUUGUGAAAGGAUGCCCUUGUGCAUGUAGGUAACCUCUGGAGAUAACUCUCAGAGCUGCCGCAAGGUCUAAACGAGCAAAUGGAGGCAAAAGCUCUUCGGAAAGGUCAGUCAUCAUUAUAAAAGAUGCCCAGAUAUUUGCUGUUGAUGAUGUGUUUACGAUGAUGGAUUGAUAAGCGUCCCACUAAUAAUCUUGGUAACAGCUGCUGUUUAUCUAGUAUCACCUCCAUGAUAGGUACGCUAUAUUUUUAUUUACUCCUCACAACAACCUAGUGGGAGACAUAUGAUUAUUCCCAUUUUACAGACGAGGAAAGUGAGACUGAGAGACGCUAAGUAACUUGCCCCAAGUGCCACAGGUGGCAAGUAGCAGAGGCAGGAAUGGAACCUGACUCUGCUUGAACCCAAGUCUAGACACUUUCCUGGACUGAGUCUCUGCUUGGGUCCAAUUCUAUUAGGGAGGUUUCACCUCCAAGAAGUUUCCCUGGACCAAAGAAAUCCAGGGAAGUGAGGUCCUGACGCUGGGUUAAAGGCAAGCCCCACCCACAGUCCCAGCCCCUCAGCCAUCUCUCUGCCGCAGUCCAGUUAAUAACACUGAAAAUGGCACUAAUGGCUGACCCCACCAGCCAUCUCUCUUUCUCACUCUCAUCCUUGCAGACUCUAAUAGGUAUCCUACGGCUGCCGGCAGAGAGAAUCUCUGCUGCUUUGAACUAAUGUAGAAGUAUUCGAAAAGAUUCUUACUGGAAAUUCUGUAAUUCUUUUCCUUAUUUUCAGCGCAAAAGGAAGAAAACGUAUGACCUAAAUCUGCCAGACACCUUUGAAAAGAAGGAACCCCUGGGAGAAACAUAUGAGCAAUCCACACAGCCCAUUUAAUUAUUAUUAAAAUGCCAAAAUUGUUAAAUAGCUAGAAAAUACUUUGAAUAGGGAGUGGAGAUUAUAGUUCCUGUUGCAUUUGCCCCCAACACGUAUAGUAGUUUUACAACACAGGAAAAUAUGUCCAGAUGUCAACAUUUAUACAGGGCCCUCAGAUCACGUUGAGCAAGUGAGUGUCUCCUGCAGAGAUUCACUUUUAAAUCACAAUUUGUAUCAGCCCUGAAAGCAUCUUUUGGGAAUUGUAAGUUGUCUACAUCACAGCUACAAACACACCCAUCCUGCUAUAGAGAUCAUGGCAAAGGAAGCUUAAGGAGGAAUGUGGCUGUUUUGGUCCCUUUGUAAAUGCACCCCAGGGGUCCAGAGUUUGACUGGAUUUACCAGGUACUAACUGUGUUUAGCUGAACUGACUGUUCAAGCAAACAGCUAUGAGGACCAAAAUAAAAUGCUUUUUAAAGAAAGGACUUUCUGUUCACUUCAGGGACUCAUAGUAUAGGGUGAGGAGUCAACAGCCUGCCUCUCUGAGUUUUCUAUCUAUGUAUUUGUUCAGUACAGUUGUUAAAUCACUGUUCUUUGCACAAAAACAUGCCUAACACAUAGUCCCAGGAGUUUUCUAAAAAUAACUCCAUUCCAUUUAUUUAACAUUUAGCAACGCCCAAGUCCCCAGUACUGGGCCCCCCAGGAAGCCACCUCCUGCAGCCUGAGCAGCCGCUUCACUUGCAUCUGUAGUCUUCCUCUGGCUCCAUCUGCCCCUGCCCCGACCUUCCAGGCCCUGGUCACUGUGAGAACUGAUCUGUUGAUCCUAUGUGACCCUGUCCUAACUGGUCACAGGUGAUUGGACUUUAGGUGAACAACUGACCCAAGCUAAGCCAAUGACAACCCUUCUCCCAGCCAGUGUGGCCUGGGACGCAGGGAAAGUGGAUCUACAGAGCAGAGAGAGGAGAGGUAGACGGUCUUCCCGGUGUUGGAGUUCCAGAUUCUUGAGGCCAGGCUGGACCCAGCUGUACUCCCACCGGUUUCCAAAGCCUCCCCCUUGUCCAAGAAUAAAUCUUCCUUUGGCGCUUAGGCCAGCACACAUGGCUUUCAGUUACCACCUACCAAACUAGAGCUUGUUCUCUACUUGAUGGUGCAAAAAGUUUAAGAUAAAUUAAUCAGAGAACGCCAUAUCCAUUUAUUCCUAAGGGUAUAAUUAUCAGGUACAAUAACCAGACAGAGGAAAGGGGAUUGUGUGAUGCUACCCUUUUCUCCUUUUCAUGCAUUUAAACUGAAUUUGGUUAAUGGCAGAAAAAAACAUUAAAUAGAGUCAUCCCUCAGUAUCCAUGAGGGAUUAGUUCCAGGACACCCCCUUCUCCUCAGAUACCAAAAUCCACAGACGCUCAGGUCUCUGAUAUAAAAUGGCAUAAUAUCUGCAUAUAGCCCACACAUCCUCCCAUAUAUAGGUUUAAUCAUCUCCAGAUUACUUAAAAUACCAAAUAUGAUGUAAAUGAUAUGUAAGUGGUUGCAUUGCACUGUUUUUUAUUUGUAUUACUUUUUAUUGUUGUAUUGUUAUUUUUUAUUGUUUUCCCAAAUGUUUUCAAUCUGCGGUUGGUCAAAUUCACGGGUGUGAAGCCCACAGGUGCAGAAGGCGACUAUACUGAUUUCCCUUCCUCCAGCCACCAAGGCUCACAGCUGUACUUCUCAAAGUACGGUCCUUGGGCAGCAGUGUCAGCAUCACCCGAGAACUUGUUACAGAGGCAAAUUCCACCCUAGACCUACAGACUCAAAAUGGUGGGGGGUGGGGCGGGUAGGGCCCAGCCAGGUGUGUUCCAACAGCCCUCCUGGUGACUCCGAUGCACAGUAAAGUUUGGGAACUGCUGGUUCACCAGAUGCUAUCACUUUCAUUACUCCAGCAAACCCUCAAACCGACCUGGUGAACAAACUACUCAUGCCCACUUCACAUCAAAGGAAGUUGGAGCUCCAGAAUUGGACUUGCCUGAAGUCGGUGACUGGAAGAGGCCAAGGUGGGCCUCACUUGGAGGCUGUCGGGCCUCAGGCUGUGCUUGUUUCUACUCCUCCCACCCCCAUGCCCCACUCCCGGGUGGCUCAGUCACCUUGGGUCCAGCUCAGGCUUACAGCAGUUUUGUUUUGUCGGCACCAAACCCCGGCUGAUCCCUUCCACCAUGUCCCUGUCGUUCAGGCCCACUGAGUCAUGCUAAGGCUCCGCCCAGGCCUCCAGAGGCCAGCCUUGAAGGACAGAGACUAUCUUCUUCACCUUUGAGACUUCCCCUGCCUGCAACAGUCCCAGCACUUCAUGGUUUCUAGGGAGCUCCUUCCAACUCUAGCUCAAGUGUGGUCUGACAAUUAGCAUCCCUCUGACACCCAGACAUCCUGCAGGUUGGAAGUCCAGCCCAGCAAGUUUUACCUACUUAGCAUGACAUUUUGGUAGCAGUCCCCUUCCAAUAAACAAGUUCACACUUAAGCAGUUAUUUAUUUCUAGGUGUGAAUGAGGGCUUGAGAGUUAGUAGGAAGCCUGUGUGUUAAUAAAGCCCACCACUUGGUUUACUGUGAUGUCCAGAAAGGGGCUGAGAGAGGAACAAGGAAGUGUGUGCUCCUUCCCCAGAGCCCAGCCUUGCCUUGGCUGGUACUCACUAAAACCCAGGGAGGACAGAAGCAGGGACAGAAGGAUGCUGAGAACUGGGAGAGUGGGAAAAGACUAAACUUCAAGGUCGGGACGGAGACAAUCUCCAGCUCCUUUUCCACGUCACCAGCACCACCCCGCAGGGUCCUGCUGGCAGCUGUGUUUCUGUUGCUCCCUGACUGCCUGCUUCUGGCCACCACCCUUCCACCAGCCGGGAUGUCCACCUGGAAGGACGUGAGCCCAGGAGCCUGAGCAGAACAGGGCCAGGUGUCUUGGGGGAGCAAGGAUGACAAAUACGGCAUCUGCAGAGUUUCUCCCAGAGACUCCCGGGCUGCUGCCUCCCUGCAUGCGAUUCAGAUGCAGACUUACAACUAAGGUAGUAUGGGAUCACAGGGGGCCACGUGUGAGGCACUGCUUCAGUCUGACAUGACCCAGUCCUGGCCACAUCCAUCUUAAGGCUCACUGUCUCCACUGAACUUCUCACUGAUAGGUCCAAAAGGAAUUUAAACCUCCAAGCCUCUCCCAGUAAUCUGUAGCUGGGAGAGACAGCCACCAUUUGAUGUGCAGAGGUUUCUUCUGCCUCCCACAGAGGGACCCAAGGGCUUGGCCUCCUCAGAACAGGAAAUGUCAGCUGAGGUUCCUGUCUCUACCAGUGGUUUAAAGGU